CCAUGUAUCACAACACAAGAGUGCCGCACUUCCUACUGAAAAUGAGUAUUUAUCAAAAAGACAGAUAUGGACCACAAGAGUUACUGAGACUCGCAUUGCUGGGGGUGUAUUGGGUGUCCCUUAUUUGGGCCACAUCUUUUUCAAGAGGCAAAUAGGGGGUCUUUGAUGUGAAACACAUUUUAGCUAGAUUUUGGGGAUAAGGAAUGCCUUUACCAUUAAAAAAAAAAAAAGAUAUCAAGGAGGACUUCUGAGAUGUUAUGAUCAGGAGAAUUACCACAGCUGUAACUUUAAAAUAGCAGAAUGUUCUAUUUUUAAGCUUUGAUUCCUCACACAAACCAGUUUCACCAUUUUAAAUGACUCUGUCGGCUACAGAUUAUUUCAAACAUACGCUGAUGACGAAGGUAAACUAUUUGACAGUGGCUUCCGAGUACAGACCUGUAUCUUUUUUCCAGUCUUGACUUUUCUCCUUCUUGCUUCUUUGUUAUCUCCUUUCCUCUUCUCACUAUUUUACCCUUAGUUUCUUGAUAAACCUUAACUAAGUUGACUCAAUCUAUUUGCGAUCCAAAUUUAUAAUUCUUAAGCCUUUCUUGGACAAUAUCUCAGGGAAUUGUGGAAAACAAUUGCUUGUUUCUCCUAUAAAAUAUGUUAAUAAUGUUGUCUAACCCUAUAUUUACACAGGCUUUCCUUCCAUCCAUUACAACUAAUCAAUGACUUAGAUUCAGCACGCUUGUAACACGAGCUUUCCUGUGUCUACUAAAUACUAAAAUAUGUCCUUGAGAAUAAUGGCAUUUGGUCUGCCCUGAGGCAAUCAAAUUGCUGAAAAUCAGAGAAGGCCACACAGUUUAAAAAAAAAAAAUGUAGCUAAGGGAAAUAAAGGAGUACUUUUGGGGAAAAUGAAGAGAAGCAAAAAUCUCAUAUAGUAAAUUAUACUUCCAACUGCUCAUAUUAGUUUGUUAAUUUCCCUGAGCUUCUAGGUUCUUAAAGACAGAGAAUUUAAUAUAGGAGAAAACCGGACAGCAAGCAGAGACCAGAUUAAGUGAGGGCACCGUACAUUCAUGACUCCUGUAUAUAAUAAGAACAUUUUCUGGGCAAAAUUAGGGCUAUUCUCAGACAGAGAUGUACAUGCACAGAUGGGAGAGAUAUAUAAAUAUAUAUUUCACAGGGUGAUUUUUAUGCACCCUGACUUUUCCGCCACUUGAUUAAAGGACUAGACAUUUCCCCUUGAGAUUUGUUCCUCUGCCUAAUGUGCUGUAAUUGCAACAGAGUGCUUGGUAUGGCGGCAUUGAGCACUAUUCUGUGAUAAAUUUGGGUCACUGCAGAGUUCAUCAUGCAGUCCUUGGCAACGGGAGAUAAAGCACUGGUUACUUCAUCUCUUGCUUUUAGCUGCAGUGUCACUGGUUCUCCUACCUAAUGAUAUUAAUAGAGCUAAAUGUACGCAAAUUAUCCGUGUCCUGGGUCUUUCCCUUCCCACUGUGUAUGUGAUAUUUCAUCACCAGGAAACAUUUCUCACAACAGUAAAUGCGAAUCAGAAGUGUGGAAGUGUGAGUUGCCAAGAAAGAGACAAUUCUCUUUUUCUUUGGCUCAUUCUUUUUAUUGUCCUGUAUUUCUUCUGAUCAGUAUUUUGAUAGUCUUUUAGUUCAUGUAAAUUCGCUCAUCUCUUCUCUGAUGGAAAAACAAAUAGCGCUUGGUUGAGGGCUCUCUGAAGUGCUGACUGCAACAGCUAAGUGGUCGAAUGAGCAUAGUGAGUGCUUUUCUUUAGAGAAAUUAUUUUUCACUUGCUUCAUUAUCUUUAUACUUCAGUUUCUUAUUUACAGAUUUCUGUUCACAGGAACUCAUUUUUACCACCUGUAAACACAUUUUACAGGGCUACCGGCAAAAUCUAGCCCUCUGCUUGAAAGUCUGGAUGAUUUUCCAGUCAUCUCUUUCCAGAAUCUUCUAUGGCCACACCCACAUUACACUCUCUUUCUGCCCCACCCUUCACCAGGCACUGGAAAAUUCCACAGCCACACAUUCUCUGUAAAACUUUUAAAAAUCAUUUUUAAUGGAAUUGGGAGGGGAUUCAACAAAAGGAAUUAAAGCAGAGAGUAGCAAUCAGAACUAGAAAAAUUAGAGAGAGUGAAUGGUGUCCUUUUAACUCCAGCACACAUAUAUAAAUCAGGGAACUCUGAGCAGUCGACUUCAGACAGAGGGCUGGGAUAUGCAUCUUGCUUUUGAAGAGCUCUGCCUUAAAAUGCUUUUGAAGCACUUAAUAAGUGAGUUAGGACUGUGUAAAUCUUGUUAAAGCAAGUGAACAUGAAGUGCACAGCCGAAAAGGCAGCCUGUUAAUGCUUGGAGGGAAUCAGUUUUCUCAUUCUGCUCGUCCGUCAAUAUCAAGGGUGAAGCCAGGAUGCCCACUUGACCUUGAUUCAUAGUGAUGAAAAUUCUCUUUUAAAGACAGCAGAAACCCUUAUUUGCUGUUUAUUUAUUCAUUAUUUAUUUCCACAAGAACUUUAUUUUUCUUUUUAUAAGGUAUUAUAAGAUUUCUUUAGUCCUACGUAAGUAUAGGGUACUAGAACCUACCCCAGUUGUACCAGUUACAGAGAAAAUCCUCACAAUUCAGACAUGUCCUGUAACAGCAAACCCCUCAAAAUGAAGGGAGAGGCUCAACAGCAACAGCCCACCCCUAGUGCUUCAUCAUCAAGCAUAAGCCCAGGAAAAUAUCCCAAAGAUGCAGGUGGCCUGAGAAACCAAGGACUAAAUGCCUGAGGCAUAUGGAGGUUUUUCAUGGUCCCAGAGAACCAAGUUCCCCAAGUUACAUAUGUUACCAGCUCAUCCCACAGACUAAAAAUAUUCACUGGGUCUUAAUUCCAGUUAGCACCAACUCUGAAAGGAGCACAAGUAAGUAAUAAUUUUCUCUAAGCAUACAAUUACAACUUUUGAUAACCAACCACAGAUUUUCAGACAAUAAACUUCUCACUUAUAGGUGACCUUGAACAGGUCAUUACACCUCUCUGUAUCUUACUUUCUUCCUCUGGAUUAUGGGACAAUAUUCUUUCAAGUUACCAAGAGAAUUGAAUGAGCUGAUAUAACCGCAACAAUUGGCACUGGGUACCCACUAAACAGAUUUCAACUUGGGUGUCCCCAGUCUGAAAUGCAACAACUCUGUCUCAUUAUACAGAGAAAAGGCCUUUUAAUGCUAUUGGCAAUGGACUUGGAAUUUUAUCAAAACAUCGUCCACAUUUAAACCAUUGUAAACUCUUUGAACACUUAUUUCAGGGAAUGUUUUCUUUCUUUUUUUUCCCACCCAAAAGGAUGCCGGAGUCAUUUAUUUCCUUUCAGGAGCACCGUGGAUGUCUUUGUAAGUCUGAUAGCAUUAUCUGACAAAUAAUCAAUGUUUGCCCGUAACCUGAGGGCCUCCAAAGCUGGAGGACAUUACUCAGCAUGGUAUCAUGGGGAAGGAAACAAAGCCAGCAUCAAUUGUUUUCUACAUAGGAAUUAUCAUGUGAUUUUUGCCCAGGACUCUCCAUCAUAACACUUCCUCUAGGAUUAGAUUUGCAGCCCAGAAUUAUUUUGAUUAUUCAUCAUGUCAUCCUUUGGAUCUAGACAGCUUUUCUUUCACAAACUACAUACAGCAUAAGCCCAGCCGCAUGUUUACUGACGUGUAUCGGUAAAGUGACAGAAAAGCUAUACAUCUUUAUGCUCUUCAUUUUGCAGAGAGGUUAAAGUGACCUUUUAACAGACCCACAAUAAAAUUGGAAUUGGAAAAGAGUAUACGGCCCAGGUAUAAAACACUCUCCAACCUAGCUGACAUAAAUACUAAUAGGAUGGAAUAAUUUGAGUGGACACAGGAAGAAUAAAUCAAAUUCACUCACACUUAAAUAUAUAAAACUAUUGUAGAGACACAGACCAUGACUAAAGGUGUGAUUUAUUUCUGACAAAGCCCAGUAAAAUUGAAAUACCUAAUACCGUAAUUCUAAACCACCUGCACAAAAGCACACAUUUAGACAUUUUUUCUUGCUUACAAAAUAUGUUCUUUCUCUGUUAUCUGCUAAUAGGGAAGCCUAAAGCAUAUGCACUGAUAAGAAAAAUUCCUUAGGAUGUUCUUUGAAGAGUAAAAAGAAUGAGCAUGUAAUUUACUUUUAAUAUAUGGUCUUGUGUAAAAAACAUAGGAUCCCCUCUUACCUACUUGGCUUUAUGUAAUGUACUGCAAAUAGAGAUCUGGAGUUAGGCAGAAAAAUCUAAACUGGAGUGUGAACUUGGCAUAAAGAAGCCCUGCAUAAUGAGUUUUUUAUACGUUGUAUAUAUAAACAGAUAAUUGUGAAAAUCUCAGGUGUUUUGGUGACUGCAGCUAGUUUUGGUCUUACCUUGAGGUGUCCAUGAAAUCUGAGUCAUUGUUGACAUAGAAGUGAAAAAUGCAGUAGGACAUCCCUAUUGAGAUGCAAUAGUUGGGAAUGGCAAAGAGGGGGGAGAGAAAAGUUCAGGGUAGUACUGGGGCCACUGGAGACACCUGAGAGAUUGGUAAUCAUUAAGAAUAACCACAUCAGGGCGUCCCUGUUGUGGCUCGGCAGUUUAAGAACACAGCUAGUAUCCAUAAAGAUAUAGGUUUGAGCCCUGGCCUCAUUCAGUGGGUUAAGGAUUUUGGGCAUUGCCAUUACUUGUGGUGCAGGCCGCAGGUGUGGCUCGGAUCUGGUGUUGCUGUGGCUGUAGUGUAGGCCGGCAGCUGCAGUUUCCAUUCUACCCUGUCCUGGGAACUUCCAUGUGCCACAGUUCUGGCCCUAACAAGCAAAGAAAAUAAAACAAACAAAACCACAUUAGGAAAGAUGGUUGCACAUACAAGGGUUUCUUAGACAACAGGCUUUAGACUUUAAGACCUUGACCUUAGAGAAAAGGGUCUUUAAAGUGAACUACUCGUGAAAGACAAACCUGAUAAAUUAGGUUCUGAAUUCCUACUCUCUACCAGACUGUAAUACAAACACCCUGGAUGCAAACUCCAAUCUAUAAGCUCUCUUGAUGGGACCUGCCUUCACUAUUCAAAACAAAGACUGCGCAUUUUAUAUGAUGUUGAAAAUGUUUUGUACCACUUAAACUCUUCAUGUUUGAAUCUAAGAGAGCAUUCUGAAGAGUAUGGCAAAAACAAACCCAGGCUGUGCAGCAAAUUCUCGGUAAUAUAAGAGGCUCUUUGAAGCAUCUUAAAUUCAAAAAUCCCAAAUGGGAUGUCUGGAAGGCAUUGCAGAAAGGGAAAAUUUAGAUCUUUUAUUUUAUAUGUUGAAAAUGAUGAGUGGAGUUCCCGUCGUGGCGCAGUGGUUAAGGAAUCCGACUAGGAACCAUGAGGUUGCGGGUUUGAUCCCUGACCUUGCUCACUGGGUUAAGGAUCCAGCAUUGCCGUGAGCUGUGGUGUAGGUUGCAGACAUGGCUCGGAUCCUGCAUUGCUGCAGCUGUGGUGUAGGCCGGCAGCUACAGCU
rnacentral:lncRNA from 1 species